rnacentral:rRNA from 1 species
UACGUAGGUGGCAAGCGUUGUCCGGAUUUACUGGGCGUAAAGGAUGCGUAGGCGGACAUUUAAGUCAGAUGUGAAAGCCCCGGGCUCAACCUGGGAAUGGCAUUUGAUACUCUGAGGCUGGAGUACGGGAGAGGAGAGUGGAAUUCCCAGUGUAGAGGUGAAAUUCGUAGAUAUUGGGAAGAACACCGGUGGCGAAGGCGGCUCUCUGGACCGUAACUGACGCUGAGGCGCGAAAGCGUGGGGAGCAAACAGG